GACGAACGCUGGCGGCAUGCCUAAUACAUGCAAGUCGAGCGAACAGAUGAAGUGCUUGCACUUCUGACGUUAGCGGCGAACGGGUGAGUAACACGUAAGGAAUCUACCUAUAAGCGGGGGAUAACAUUCGGAAACGGGUGCUAAUACCGCAUAAUAUCUUCUUCCGCAUGGAAGAAGAUUGAAAGACGGCUCUGCUGUCACUUAUAGAUGCCCUUGCGGCGCAUUAGUUAGUUGGUGGGGUAACGGCCUACCAAGACGAUGAUGCAUAGCCGACCUGAGAGGGUGAUCGGCCACAUUGGGACUGAGACACGGCCCAAACUCCUACGGGAGGCAGCAGUAGGGAAUCUUCCGCAAUGGGCGAAAGCCUGACGGAGCAAUGCCGCGUGAGUGAAGAAGGCCUUCGGGUCGUAAAACUCUGUUAUAAGAGAAGAACAAAUUGUAGAGUAACUGCUACAGUCUUGACGGUAUCUUAUCAGAAAGCCACGGUUAACUACGUGCCAGCCGCCGCAGUAA
rnacentral:rRNA from 1 species